CUUAAGAAUGUCCGAAGCGCUUCGGAAUUCCGGAAAAGUGUCAAAACAAGAGAGAGGGAGGAAACAUUACGUGAAUGAUGAUAGGAAUCUUGACCAAUAAGCUAAUUCCUUUUGCCCAAUGUGAUGCUUGCUUGCCGCAAGGAUUUUUCCAACCCUAGGUGAAAAAUGUUUGCCGCCCUACACACAUACACGCUGACCCAUACAGACACACUCUGACCCACACACAAACGCUCACACUGACCCCUUGUCAGGGCUUACCUGAGUUGUGAGUCCGGCAGACAGAGAUAUAUGCUCACUCUUGCAAGUAAACACAGGCCGAGGUGGUCAGAUAAGAAUUCACCUGGCCUGUGAGUCGGUGCACGGGGGCUGUGCAGUCUAAUUCUCCAAGUCACAGUACAGGAACGGAUAAAGCAGGAGAAUCGUCAUUGGUAAGCCAGAGGUUGCCACAAAUCAGUAUUAACGAGAAGAAAGCCGAGGUCAGAGGAUGCCAGAAGUCAGGAUAUACGGAGUAACAAGCCAUGGUCAGGAAUCAACAGGAGCACACUGGAACACAAACAGCAAUACGGAACCAGAGUCAAGGAACUGACACUGCC